GCUAGUGUGGUGUAAUGGUUUGAGCAUGACUGCUAUUCUGAAGAUCAGGGUUCAAAUCCCUGCUCAGUCA